rnacentral:rRNA from 1 species
GACGAACGCUGGCGGCGCGCCUAACACAUGCAAGUCGAACGAGCGAGAGAGAGUUUGCUUUCUCGAGCGAGUGGCGAACGGGUGAGUAACGCGUGAGGAACCUGCCUCAAAGAGGGGGACAACAGUUGGAAACGACUGCUAAUACCGCAUAAGCCCACAGCUCGGCAUCGAGCAGAGGGAAAAGGAGUGAUCCGCUUUGAGAUGGCCUCGCGUCCGAUUAGCUGGAUGGUGAGGUAACGGCCCACCAUGGCGACGAUCGGUAGCCGGACUGAGAGGUUGAUCGGCCACAUUGGGACUGAGACACGGCCCAG